UCAGCAGCAGGGCUGAGACUCCAGGAUUGAUCCAGGAAGCCAGCACUCCACACGCCAGGGGGUGGGGCCAAGACCACGCCCGGGUGGGACCGAGACUCCACGCGUGGGGGCAGGGCUCUGAGUCCACGCACAGCACAGAACUGCAAGCCUGCACUUGGCCGUCUCUCAUCUUGGCCUCACACUGAGCUCUUGUCACUUAAAUCAGGUCUGGACCCCAGGGUUGCCAUGGCCCGGGAAUCUACAUUCUCAAGCACCCAUCGCUACAAUUCUGAUAAUCCAUACUGGCUUGGAGAAACACUGAACUAGAUGUGGGAGCCCCUGGGAACCUGAGCCCCACGCCAAGGGCUGAGGUGCCGCCUGUGGAGAGAGUCAGGUGUCACCCCCAGUUAUCAGUACAGUCUUCCCUUCAUUUUACUGAGGACUGACUGGCAUCAGACUUCGAGGACAGCGUCCGCCUGCCUCUGAGAGUCAGCUUCUCUUCUGUCGACAAGAUUUUUCUACCAGUGACUGUUGGUUAUCUUGCAACAUCUGUACCCAGGACACAUUUGUCCACUUGGAAGGACGAACCCUUUUGAAGUGGCUACACAUUUUCAGUCCCUUCACCUGUCUGGGACUGCACAGCUCCCAAUAUACAGUCUAUAGGUCUCAUCUAUUUAAAUUUUAAAGAUCCUGGACUUUGAAUUCAAGAUGGCAGACUGCUGUUUGGAGGGCAGUCUGGCUGUCUCGAUUAAAAUUUAGCAUCUGCAAUAAGAUAAAAUGAGCACACACUGCCUCCCCCUCCCUCUCUCUAAAUCACAAGCAAUGACCAAAAAGACACAGAGUUGGAAAAUAAAAAUAACCACAGUGGAAAA